rnacentral:rRNA from 1 species
UACGUAGGCAGCGAGCGUUGUUCGGAAUUACUGGGCGUAAAGAGUGUGUAGGCGGUGUUCCAAGUUCGGUGUGAAAUCUCCUGGCUCAACUGGGAGCUUGCAGGCGAAACUGCCGUGCUGGAGUGUGGGAGAGGUGCGUGGAAUUCCUGGUGUAGCGGUGAAAUGCGCAGAUAUCAGGAGGAACACCGGUGGCGAAGGCGGGUCUCUGGGCAACUACUGACGCUGAGGAGCGAAAGCGUGGGGAGCGAACAGG